rnacentral:rRNA from 1 species
GACGAACGCUGGCGGCGUGCUUAACACAUGCAAGUCGAACGGAAAGGCCCUGCUUUUGUGGGGUGCUCGAGUGGCGAACGGGUGAGUAACACGUGAGUAACCUGCCCUUGACUUUGGGAUAACUUCAGGAAACUGGGGCUAAUACCGGAUAGGAGCGCCUGCUGCAUGGUGGGGGUUGGAAAGUUUCGGCGGUUGGGGAUGGGCUCGGGGCUUAUCAGCUUGUUGGUGGGGUAGUGGCUUACCAAGGCUUUGACGGGUAGCCGGCCUGAGAGGGUGACCGGCGAACUUGGGCCUGCGGUACGGCCCAGACUCGUACGGGAGGCAGUGGUGGGGAGUAUUGCACAAUGGGCGGAAGCGUGAUGAAGCAACGCCGCGUGCGGGAUGACGGCCUUGGGGGUGUAAACCGCUGUAGCCUGUGACGAAGCGUGAGUGACGGUAAUGGGUAAAGAAGCACCGGCUAACUACGUG